rnacentral:rRNA from 1 species
GAUGAACGCUAGCUACAGGCUUAACACAUGCAAGUCGAGGGGCAGCAUGGAAGAAGCUUGCUUCUUCUGAUGGCGACCGGCGCACGGGUGCGUAACGCGUAUCAAACCUGCCUCAUACUCGGGGAUAGCCUUGCGAAAGUAAGAUUAAUACCCGAUGUUGUUGCUUUCUCGCAUGGGAGAGUAACCAAAGAUUUAUCGGUAUGAGAUGGUGAUGCGUCCGAUUAGGUAGUAGGCGGGGUAACGGCCCACCAAGGCUACGAUCAGUAGGGGUUCUGAGAGGAAGGUCCCCCACAUUGGAACUGAGACACGGUCCAAACUCCUACGGGAGGCAGCAGUGAGGAAUAUUGGUCAAUGGACGGAAGUCUGAACCAGCCAAGUAGCGUGCAGGAUGACGGCCCUAUGGGUUGUAAACUGCUUUUGUAUGGGGAUAAAGUUAGGGACGUGUCCCUAUUUGCAGGUACCAUACGAAUAAGGACCGGCUAAUUCCGUGCCAGCAGCCGCGGUAAUACGGAAGGUCCAGGCGUUAUCCGGAUUUAUUGGGUUUAAAGGGAGCGUAGGCUGGAGAUUAAGUGUGUUGUGAAAUGUAGACGCUCAACGUCUGACUUGCAGCGCAUACUGGUUUCCUUGAGUACGCACAACGUUGGCGGAAUUCGUCGUGUAGCGGUGAAAUGCUUAGAUAUCAUGAGGAACUCCGAUCGCGAAGGCAGCCUGCGGGAGUGUUACUGACGCUUAAGCUCGAAGGUGCGGGUAUCGAACAGG